GGGAAAUGUGGGUUUGUCUGGAAAACCGGGUCAGAAGGGAGAAGCUGGGGAACCAGGAGUGAGAGGAAUCAGGGGCCCUCCUGGAAUCCCAGGACGACCCGGAGAACGAGGAAUGAAAGGAGACACGGGACAACCUGGAAAGGAUGGGGAGCCUGGACUGCCUGGAAUUCCUGGAAGCGUGAUAACUUCCCUGGAGAACAUCCUGAAAGGAGACAAGGGGGAUCCCGGCAAGGACGGAUUGAGAGGGGAAAGAGGCCCCCCAGGCCCAAAG